AUUGAACGCUGGCGGCAUGCCUUACACAUGCAAGUCGAACGGUAACGGGCCUUCGGGUGCCGACGAGUGGCGAACGGGUGAGUAAUACAUCGGAACGUGCCCGAUCGUGGGGGAUAACGAGGCGAAAGCUUUGCUAAUACCGCAUACGAUCUACGGAUGAAAGCAGGGGACCGCAAGGCCUUGCGCGGACGGAGCGGCCGAUGGCAGAUUAGGUAGUUGGUGGGAUAAAAGCUUACCAAGCCGACGAUCUGUAGCUGGUCUGAGAGGAUGAUCAGCCACACUGGGACUGAGACACGGCCCAGACUCCUACGGGAGGCAGCAGUGGGGAAUUUUGGACAAUGGGCGCAAGCCUGAGCCAGCCAUGCCGCGUGCAGGAUGAAGGCCUUCGGGUUGUAAACUGCUUUGUACGGAACGAAAAGCCUUCUUUUAAUACAGGAGGGUCAUGACGGUACCGUAAGAAUAAGCACCGGCUAACUACGUG
rnacentral:rRNA from 1 species